UCCUCGGUAGCUCAGUCGGUUAGAGCAUCUGACUGUUAAUCAGAGGGUCGCUGGUUCGAGCCCAGCCCGAGGAG
rnacentral:tRNA from 2 species